rnacentral:lncRNA from 1 species
ACCUUGUUGACUUGCUGGUUCUUGUUGAAAACUUCAUCAUCUUGUUCUAAAAACAUGAUUCUUAAAGCCUAGUGAAGCCGUGUGUGGCCUAUUUUGAUUCACUAGCACUUGUUGUUCAACUUGUUGUUUUUGGUGUUAGUUUCUUCUUCUUGUUGUUCUUGCUGGAUUCUUGCAUUAUAGACUUGAUAUUGUAUCAGAACUCCUUUUGGAUCCUUCUUGGAUAUCAUUUUACCUGUACCUGCACAUAAGAAGAAUCAAAGCUAGGGAAAAUACCAGCCUUUUGGUUAGGAAGUAUCAAGGCACAUUUGUGGGCAAGUUCCAUAAUCAAAUUUGUUUUUUCCUUUUCAAGCUCACACUUCGAG